GNUUCGUAGGUGACCUGCGGAGGAUCAUUACCGAGUGCAGGUCUGCCCCCGGGCAGGCCUAACCUCCCACCCGUGAAUACCUGACCAACGUUGCUUCGGCGGUGCGCCCCCCCGGGGGUAGCCGCCGGAGACCACACCGAACCUCCUGUCUUUAGUGUUGUCUGAGCUUGAUAGCAAACCUAUUAAAACUUUCAACAAUGGAUCUCUUGGUUCCGGCAUCGAUGAANAACGCAGCGAACUGCGAUAAGUAAUGUGAAUUGCANAAUUCAGUGAAUCAUCGAGUCUUUGAACGCACAUUGCGCCCCCUGGCAUUCCGGGGGGCAUGCCUGUCCGAGCGUCAUUGCUGCCCUUCAAGCCCGGCUUGUGUGUUGGGUCGUCGUCCCCCCCGGGGGACGGGCCCNAAAGGCAGCGGCGGCACCGCGUCCGGUCCUCGAGCGUAUGGGGCUUUGUCACCCGCUCGAUUAGGGCCGGCCGGGCGCCAGCCGGCGUCUCCAACCUUCUAUUUUACCAGGUUGACCUCGGAUCAGGUAGGGAUACCCGCUGAACUUAAGCAUAUCAAUAAGNCGGAGNAA
rnacentral:rRNA from 1 species